UUUAGAAAUGGUAAAAGUUUAACUUACCCAUUUUUCGAAUGUUUGACAAACAGUUUUACGCGUUGGUGUUCGUGAACGAUAUUCUUCAAAAUUUCCAUGCUUUAACUGCACUUGCGUGUGAUUUGUUCCGUUUGUUUAUUUUGUGAAAACGCGAGUGGAAAAAAUGUUAAAAAAAAUCCUUUAAAACAAAGGGCAGCAGCCGGUACAAAACCGAAGGAAGCUGCCGCUGUUUCUGAUAGACAGCCGACAUUCAGCUACUUAGUAUAGCCGGGCAAGUGGUUGCCCUCGUCCAGUACUGCAGUUUUGUCUUCAUCGAUUCAACAGCGUUGAAAUCUCUCCAGUAGGUUCCGUUCCCAGUAUCCGCCGGAUGAAUUCGAUCGUAAUCUGUUGGCAGGUUGAAAGCAGUGCCCAUAAGCUGACUUCGUAUCAUCGGCCAAUAGUCUGCGGAUUUUCCCGCAGCAUCAAACGAGAGCAGACAUUUAUUUCGAGCAACUUUAGGCAAACCUACUUCUAAGGAGCCAACAUUCCACGAUGCUAUCGAUGGCGGUGCUGGCAUCUUUUGAUCCGAAUAAUGAGGAAUCACCCAUCCCUGUUUAACGUCGAUGUUCGGACAAGCCUCUUUUUCCGCUGCAGUUAUCUGAUCCAAAAACGUGCUGAUUAAUACAUAUGAUUUAGAUUAUUGCGACAAUGUAAUUAAAAUACAUUAUAAUGUAUC